UUCGCCUGCAAAAAAAGUUACCAUCUUUGCCCAUAUAAGGAGAUCACCUGUUAAAUUCUCGCGCAGGGAGACGACGAAAUCGAAGAGGCAGAUGUUUUCCUGAACGCACUUUUGUCUUCAACCUUCGAGUAGAUAUUGUAAUCAAUGGUACGUGAAGACGGCACAAUUUGAUUUUUGUGACUUGUUAGCAAGUUAAAGAAAGCAAGUUAGACUCCAUGACGGUCGGACGUGGCAAACUCGCGCGCAGAAGACUCCUACCAGAAAAUGAAUCCAGUCUAGAUUUGGCGCCCGGUGAAACCAAGUGAAACGGUGUGUGGGUAUGAAGGACUGUGCAGAACUUGCCACCACGAAAACUCAGAGAAGCUCAAUGCCACUGAAAAGAGGCCAGCAGCUUCAUAAAAAAAUGAAAGACUACGCUAGACCAUCAGAUCAAAUUGCUGAACAAACAGCGGACCAAAAUGCCUAAGUUAUGCACUGUGGAACGUUUUGUGGAUAGACAGCUGUGGAAUCCGUAAAGGUCAAGAAGACUUUUGUUACGAGGGCUGGAGG